rnacentral:rRNA from 1 species
AUUGCUAUCGUUGUCCGAUUUAGCCAUGCUAGUCGCACGGAUUUAGACCCGUGGCGAAUAGCUCCGUAACACGUGGCCAAACUACCCUAUGGAGAGUGAUAACCUCGGGAAACUGAGGCUAAUAACUCAUACCGCUCCCGAGCUGGAAUGCUGGGAGCUCUAAACGCUCCGGCGCCAUAGGAUGUGGCUGCGGCCGAUUAGGUCGACGGUGGGGUAACGGCCCACCGUGCCGAUAAUCGGUACGGGUUGUGAGAGCAAGAACCCGGAGACGGAAUCUGAGACAAGAUUCCGGGCCCUACGGGGCGCAGCAGGCGCGAAACCUUUACACUGCACGAGAGUGCGAUAAGGGGACCCCGAGUGCGAGGGCAUACAGUCCUCGCUUUUCUGUACCGUAAGGUGGUACAGGAAUAAGGGCUGGGCAAGACCGGUGCCAGCCGCCGCGGUAAUACCGGCAGCUCGAGUGAUGACCGAUAUUAUUGGGCCUAAAGCGUCCGUAGCCGGCCACGUAGGUCCAUCGGGAAAUCCACUCGCUCAACGAGUGGGCGUCCGGCGGAAACUACGUGGCUUGGGGCCGGAAGACCUGAGGGGUACGUCCUGGGUAGGAGUGAAAUCCCGUAAUCCUGGACGGACUGCCGGUGGCCUAAGCGCCUCAGGAAGACGGACCCGACGGUGAGGGACGAAAGCUAGGGUCUCGAACCGGAUUAGAUACCCGGGUAGUCCUAGCCGUAAACGAUGCUCACUAGGUGUGGCGCUGGCUACGAGCCAGCGCUGUGCCGUAGGGAAGCCGUGAAGUGAGCCGCCUGGGAAGUACGUCCGCAAGGAUGAAACUUAAAGGAAUUGGCGGGGGAGCACUACA